AUUGAACGCUGGCGACAUGCCUUACACAUGCAAGUCGAACGGCAGCACGGGGCAACCUGGUGGCGAGUGGCGAACGGGUGAGUAAUGCAUCGGAACGUACCUUUCAGUGGGGGAUAACGUAGCGAAAGUUACGCUAAUACCGCAUAUUCUGUGAGCAGGAAAGCAGGGGAUCGCAAGACCUUGCGCUGAUUGAGCGGCCGAUGUCAGAUUAGCUAGUUGGUGAGGUAAAGGCUCACCAAGGCGACGAUCUGUAGCGGGUCUGAGAGGAUGAUCCGCCACACUGGAACUGAGACACGGUCCAGACUCCUACGGGAGGCAGCAGUGGGGAAUUUUGGACAAUGGGGGCAACCCUGAUCCAGCCAUGCCGCGUGAGUGAAGAAGGCCUUCGGGUUGUAAAGCUCUUUCGGCCGGGAAGAAAUCGCACGGGCUAAUACCCUGUGUGGAUGACGGCACCGGAAUAAGAAGCACCGGCUAACUACGUGCCAGCCGCCGCAGUAAUAC
rnacentral:rRNA from 1 species